UACGGGAGGCAGCAGUGGGGAAUAUUGCACAAUGGGCGCAAGCCUGAUGCAGCCAUGCCGCGUGUAUGAAGAAGGCCUUCGGGUUGUAAAGUACUUUCAGUCGUGAGGAAGGUGUUAAGGUUAAUAACCUUAGCAAUUGACGUUAGCGACAGAAGAAGCACCGGCUAACUCCGUGCCAGCAGCCGCGGUAAUACGGAGGGUGCGAGCGUUAAUCGGAAUUACUGGGCGUAAAGGGCACGCAGGCGGUUAAUUAAGUUGGAUGUGAAAUCCCCGGGCUUAACCUGGGAAUGGCAUUCAAGCUGGUUAGCUAGAGUCUUGUAGAGGGGGUAGAAUUCCAUGUGUAGCGGUGAAAUGCGUAGAGAUGUGGAGGAAUACCGGUGGCGAAGGCGGCCCCUGGGACAAAGACUGACGCUCAUGUGCGAAAGCGUGGGGAGCGAAACAGGGA
rnacentral:rRNA from 1 species